rnacentral:rRNA from 1 species
CGGCCGCGUCGACAUCCUGGCUCAGGAUGAACGCUGGCGGCGUGCUUAACACAUGCAAGUCGAGCGAUGAAGUUUCCUUCGGGAAACGGAUUAGCGGCGGACGGGUGAGUAACACGUGGGUAACCUGCCUCAUAGAGUGGAAUAGCCUUCCGAAAGGAAGAUUAAUACCGCAUAACGUUGAAAGAUGGCAUCAUCAUUUAACCAAAGGAGCAAUCCGCUAUGAGAUGGACCCGCGGCGCAUAGCUAGUUGUGGGUAACGGCUACCAAGGCGACGAUGCGUAGCCGACCUGAGAGGGUGAUCGGCCACGAUUGGGACUGAGACACGGCCCAGGACUCCUACGGGUAGGCAGCGUGAACUGGGGGGGGUUCCAACGGCUUGGAAUUUGGGAAACUAAGGGGCCCUUAAGGGGUUCUAAAACGGGUAUCCGUUUUAAAAGUCCAAAGGGGGUUCCGAAAACGUUUUUAGGGGACCGUUAGGGGGUAAACGGGGUCCCAAAAGGGGGUCCCAAACGGGGUAACCGGUAACGGGGGUAACGGUAACGGGUACGGUACGUACGUACGUACGUACGUACGUACGUACGUACGUACGUACGUACGUACGUACGUACGUACGUACGUACGUACGUACGUACGUACGUACGUACGUACGUACGUACGUACGUACG